UUUUGAAAAUGUUCUUCGAAAUUAUUAUAAUGGGUCGGAGUCACGAUUUUUUCAAAUAUUUCUUCAAUAAAUACAGCUGAAGAGGUGUUAGUAUCUCACAGUAUAGUCAUGUAUUCCCAGCUUGCCGAAAGUAUACCAAAUUUUAGGAUCAACGCUGCCUGGUUGCUGUUGAUAUUUGCCUUUGUUCUGCCAUUUUUGCCCAUUCCGUUUUUACCGCCAACAGGAAAUUUCUUUGAUACGGCCUCGGGAGCAGCCCAGGAUGCCUUAGAUGGUUUCCUUGAGGGCAUGGACUCAAAGUGAUUGUUUUCUUUUGAAAGAGUCAAAUGAUGGAAAUAGAAUGAUGAAAUAAAUGAUUUAUAACGUA